rnacentral:rRNA from 1 species
UACAGAGGGUGCGAACGUUGUUCGGAAUUACUGUGCAUAAAGCGCGCGUAGGCGGCGACGUAAGUGUCGCGUGAAAUCCCACGGCUCACCCGUGUGAAUUGCUUGGCAUACUGCGUUGCUCGAGUGUGGUAGGGGAGAGCGGAACUCCUGGUGGAGCGGUGAAAUGCGAAGAUAUCAGGAAGAACAUCGGUGGCGAAGGCGGCUCUCUAGUCCACUACUGACGCUGAAUUGCGAAAGCUAGGGUAGCGAACGGG